rnacentral:rRNA from 1 species
CAAGAGCGUAUAUUAACGCUGCUGCUGUUAAAGGGUUCGUAGUUGGAUUCGGAGUGCAGAGAUUUGAGGUGGUCCUAGACCGCAAGCCUUUACUUCUCCGCCUCCUGUAUGUGCGGAACUGUAGCCGCGUGAAGCUCUUCGGAGUGGACCGUCCAUCGCGUAUGCCAUACGCAAAAGCCGUCCGCCGUUAUUACUGUGAGCAAAUCAGCGUGUCCAAGGCAGGCUUUGCCCGAAUGAUAAAGCAUGGAAUAACAGGGGAUCACACGUAACGUUGCUCCUUUUGUUGGUUUCUGAGCUGUGUUCGUAUAAUUUCUGCAACAAUCCCCUACAUGAGCGUGCUGGUGAUCCUUUCGGUGACCCAUCUCCUCGCGUAGGUCUGGAUGUUACAGAGCGGGAUCAAUGGGGACAAUCGGGGGAAGACGUAUUACUGCGUCAGAGGUGAAAUUCUUAGACCGCAGUAAGACGGCCUACAGCGCAGGCAUC